CAGUCGCCGCGGUAAUACGUAGGUGGCAAGCGUUGUCCGGAAUUAUUGGGCGUAAAGGGCUCGCAGGCGGUUUCUUAAGUCUGAUGUGAAAGCCCCCGGCUCAACCGGGGAGGGUCAUUGGAAACUGGGAAGCUUGAGUGCAGAAGAGGAGAGUGGAAUUCCACGUGUAGCGGUGAAAUGCGUAGAGAUGUGGAGGAACACCAGUGGCGAAGGCGACUCUCUGGUCUGUAACUGACGCUGAAGAGCGAAAGCGUGGGGAGCGAACAGGAUUAGAUACCCCAGUAGUCCCUGUCUCUUAUAC
rnacentral:rRNA from 1 species